rnacentral:tRNA from 1 species
GGUGUUGUAGCUCAGUGGUAGAGCACUUGCCUAGCAUGUGUGAGGCAUCGGGUUCAAAUCUCAGCACUG